CACGGGGGGAACGAGCGUUGUUCGGAUUUACUGGGCGUAAAGGGUGCGUAGGCGGGCCGGUCAGUCGGGUGUGAAAUCUCACGGCUUAACCGUGAAUCUGCAUCCGAAACUGCUGGUCUUGAGUACGGGAGAGGAAAGUGGAAUUCCAGGUGUAGCGGUGAAAUGCGUAGAUAUCUGGAGGAACACCGGUGGCGAAGGCGGCUUUCUGGACCGAUACUGACGCUGAUGCACGAAGGCCGGGGGAGCAAACAGG
rnacentral:rRNA from 1 species